GACAGAGGGUGCAAACGUUGUUCGGAAUUACUGGGCGUAAAGCGCGUGUAGGCUGCUUCGCAAGUCGGAUGUGAAAAAGCCCUGGGCUCAACCCAGGAAGUGCAUUCGAAAACUGCAGAGCUGGAGUCCUGGAGAGGAAAAGGGGCGGAAAUUUCUCGGGUUGUAGAGGGUGAAAUUUCGUAGAUAUCGAGAGGAAACACCGGUGGGCGAAAGGGCGGGCCCUUUCGUGGGACGAGGUUUGACUGGACGCUG
rnacentral:rRNA from 1 species